rfam:Gossypium hirsutum cultivar TM-1 chromosome 21, whole genome shotgun sequence
GUCUCUAAUGAUGAUUUAAAUUUGAAAAACUUUCGUUCUUCUGAGAGAAAAAAUCUGUGCGGAAUUUCUAUAUGGAGACCUGAGCUGAAGAGAC